rnacentral:rRNA from 1 species
UUUACGUACGGCACGUUAUGGUGGGCACUCUAAGGAGACUGCCAGUGACAAACCGGAGGAAGGUGGGGAUGACGUCAAGUCAUCAUGGCCCUUACGGCCUGGGCUACACACGUGCUACAAUGGUCGGUACAAAGGGUUGCCAAGCCGCGAGGUGGAGCUAAUCCCAUAAAACCGAUCGUAGUCCGGAUCGCAGUCUGCAACUCGACUGCGUGAAGUCGGAAUCGCUAGUAAUCGUGAAUCAGAAUGUCACGGUGAAUACGUUCCCGGGCCUU